rnacentral:lncRNA from 1 species
UUUUUCUUUUUCACCUGUCAAUUUAGUUGAAACUUUUUUGUUAUUUUAGCCCACAAAGUGACUGAGCGUCUGGGUAUCAUAUGACCAUGACAUGGGGCCCAAGUUAUAGCCACACUGCUUUCUGCUGAGGUUGGCUUGAGAAAGAAUUUCAACAGAGAAGAAAUCUCUCCUCUCCACUGAAGAGGAAUAUUUUGUGCGUCCCACAAUGGCAUUAGGUAUACAUUCUCCAUUUUAACAAACCAUUUUUCCAAUGUUGUACUGCCUGUUAAGCCAGUCAGCAUUAGUUUAUUGUUCUCCCCAAAUUUUAAUGGUGUGAGAACUAGUAGAAACAAGCUCUAGAGAACAGGCUUUAGUUUGUACAUUACCUGGGAAAAUGUCACAACAACCAGAGCAUUAUUAUGAACCUCACAACACUGACGCUGGGGUGAAGGGCAAGACCACAACCAGAACACACUGGGAUAUGUUGUCUCCUAGGUUAAGGAUUUCAUUUUUCCAUUCUGAUUUUUUUUCUUAUAUUUCAAGGUUAUUACCUAUAUGCUAUUUAAAGUUCAAAUAUUCUUUUAAGAUUAUUUACUUCUUCAUGAGAGAAACGCAGAGAGAGGCAAGACAUAGGCAGAGGGAGAAGCUCCCCAUGGGGAGCCCAAUGAGGAACUAGAUCCCGGGAAAUCAUGCCCUCAGCUGAAGGCAGACACUCAACCACUGAGUCACCCAGGUGCCUCUAAAAUUCAAAUAUUCUUUUUUUUUUUAAGAUUUUAUUUAUUUACUCAUAAGAGACACAGAGAGAAAGAGAGAGGCAGAGGGAGAGGCAGGCUCCAUGUAGGGAGCCUGACAUGAGACUCGAUCCCGGGUCUCCAGGAUCAUGCCCUGGGCCGAAGGCAGCGCAAAACUGCUGAGCCACCAGAGCUGGCCAAAUUCAAAUAUUCUAACAUAAAAUUUGUUUCUCUUAUAUUUCAUCAACUGUUCAAAAGCAUGUUUACACAUGUUUUUAAAACAUGUUUAUUUAGAGAGAGUCAUGCUUUGUUAUAGACCUUGAGGGUCUUGUUUUGUUUUUGAGAGGUGUAGGAAUAGCACAUUUCUGUUUAUGUAUUCCUUGGCUUGCUUUUUUUUUUUUUUUUUUUUUUUUUUUUUUGGCUUCCCUAAGUGACUUUCUUUUGUUUUGUUGUUUUGUUGAGGAAAAAAAUGUAUGUCUUCACAGUUAACAGCUUCUAGCUUGAAUUGAAUUGAACAGCUUCAUCUUUGAAUUGAAUCAAUUUCUACUCUGUCCUCCUCUGUUCUAUGCUUUGUUUGGCUUGAGGGCUAUUUUUGACUUAUGGAUGACAAUAUGGGAAUUUUUGUAAUUGAACUCAACAGAUUGGUUCCAAUGUUUCUUAUAUUUCAAAUUUCACUUCUUGGUUUUCAUGACUGCUUGACUGGAGCACAUCUUGAAGUAACUUCCUCAGGAAGAAUGAGUAGAAGAUAAGUUUUUGAGUUCUUGCAUUUCUGCAAUUACUUCACAGUUUACCAAAAGUUUGCGUGUGUAAUUCUACUUUCAAAGUCACUACCUUUCAGAAUAAAGGGACUGUUCCAUGGUCUUUGCAGUGCUACUACUAAGAGAUGAGAUGCUUCUGUGAUUCUUAAACCUGUCUGAUGGUCACUUCUACGUUUCUGAAAAACUUUAUGAAACCGAGGAUGAUUCAUGUCUCUAUACUGAAGUAGGGAGUUUUAUUCCAUCAGUUCUUUAUAAUUUGGUAGGAGAUUUGAAAAAAAUAAGAUAGAUCUUAUAAGAGACCUAAAAAUGGUUUUUGUUAUCCUGGUUUCCUUCUGUUGUUGUUAUCCUAUUUUUAAUAUACAAGGGUUCUGUUUCAAUUUCUUAGUUUUCCUCCUCUUGAAGUGUGAUUCUUUGAGUCAGGCUUUAAAAGGAGAUAAUAUUUCAAUUAAUCAAAUUUGGAGCAUCUCUAUCUCAAUAAAGAAAUUUAGUGCAAAAUCACCCUAAUUAAUAUCAUAAUAUUUUAAAUAAUUUUUAAAAGAUUUAUUUAUUUUAGAAAUAGAGAUAAAAAGAGAGGGUGUGAGCAAGUAGGGAGACGUGAAGAGGGAAAGAAACAAGUAGACUCUGUGCUGAGUGCAGAGCCCAACACAGGGCCUGAUUUUAGGACCUGUGAGAUCUUGACCUGAGUCAAAAAUCAACUGAGCCACCCAGGCACUCCUAAAUAAAAUAAUUUUACAUGUUAAAUAUUUAUCAUGAACUAAUUCCUUCAUGGCAUUUAGUAAUCCUCAUAAAGUAAUAACAAUCCUCACACUGUUUUUAUGUACAUUUUUAUUCUUUGAAAGCAAUCUUGUUAUUUAUAAUUCAUAUAAAAUUAUUAGUAGAAAUUAAUCAUUUUUUUAAUAGAGAGGCAAAUCAGCAUGCUGAAUGAAGGUUUUGUUGAUAUCACUCAGUGUAAUAUACACAAACUUUUUGAGUUAUAUUUUACAAAUGGGAAGCAGUCUGAGCGCUGGCAAGUAGUCUGCACAUCAAAUGUGAUAAAGCCAGGGCUUGCACUCAGGUUUGUCUGGUUCUAAAAGCUCAUGUCUCUCCCAUAACACUACACUGCAAAGAAUUUAGAAGUUUCAAUGGCAUGAAAGAUUAAGGUGAAUAUUUUGCCUGGAAAACACACAUUCUUGUAAUACAAACAAACUGUAGUGGGAAAGAGAACUAUAAAAGUCAGCAUAUUUAUGCAAACAUCUUCAAAUUAAUCCAAGCAAUGCCAUUGUUUAUUGCAUGGCACGUCUUUGUAGAAUACUUAUGAAAUGGGAAGACAGAUCCUUGCUUAUUUGUAAUGGUCAUAUUUUCCAGCUUCAAUAUUUAGCAUUAGAAACUUGUUUUAUUGGCUUUAUUUUGCAGUACUGUAUCAUUCUCCAUGACAUCCAGAAUGAAUAAUUAAACAGGUAACUGUGAAACACUACAGAAAUUAAUUUUAAGAGGACAAAUGGGAUCAGGGAACACAGCAUACACUGCAUUUUACUGAAAACACCUUCAGCCAUUACACUAAAUAAUCCAUGUCACAUCCUCUGGUAAUUUCCAGGGUGAUUUCCUUUUGCCAGAAUGAAUUAUUUUUGCCACUAUUUGGAGUAACAGCAUACAAGGGAUAUGCAUUAAUGGUGAGUUUACUUUUUCAAAUAGGAGGGGAAUAGUUAGGAUUCUAAGGAAAUCUCCCAAAUGAUGGCACCUUGCCAUGACAUUUAUUCUAAAAAGCAGCUGAGAGAGAGGGGAACAGCUCCUGCUUUAUAGACAUAUAGGGCAACAGUUCCAGAUAUCCUUAAAGCAGAAGCACAGAUGGAAGGAGAGAAAUUAUAGAUGGGAAUGGGGAAUGAACAAGAGCCCAGUUACUUGAAUGAAGCUGGUUAAACUUUACAGAGACUGGCAGUUACGGUAACAUGAGUGUCCCAAACCAAAUUGUUUUCUUUGACAGCACCAAGAAGCAUACAUUUCCUAGGAUAAUUGCAUCCAGGUAGGAACCUCAUG